rnacentral:rRNA from 1 species
UGAGCAAUCUGCCCUUCUCUUCGGAAUAAGCGUUGGAAACGACGUCUAAUGCCGAAUACGACCUCCUUUCGCAUGAUCGGAGGUGGAAAGCUCCGGCGGAGAAGGAUGAGCUCGCGGCCUAUCAGCUAGUUGGUGUGGGUAAUGGCCCACAAGGCGACGACGGGUAGCCGGCCUGAGAGGGUGACCGGCCACACUGGGACUGAGACACGGCCCAGACCUCCGUACGGGGAGGCAGCG